rnacentral:rRNA from 1 species
UCGAGGAUCUUCGUCAAUGGGCGCAAGCCUGAACGAGCGAUGCCGCGUGAGCGAUGAAGGCCUUCGGGUUGUAAAGCUCAAAAGGGAUGAGAAAGGGCAACUUGAUCGAAUCCCAGUAAGCUCGGGCUAAGUUCGUGCCAGCAGCCGCGGUAAGACGAACCGAGCGAACGUUGUUCGGAAUCACUGGGCUUAAAGGGCGCGUAGGCGGGUUCGCAAGUCUGUGGUGAAAUCCUCCGGCUCAACCGGAGAACUGCCUCGGAUACUGCGGGUCUCGAGGGUGAUAGGGGUAUGCGGAACUAUCGGUGGAGCGGUGAAAUGCGUUGAUAUCGAUAGGAACUCCGGUGGCGAAGGCGGCAUACUGGAUCACUUCUGACGCUGAGGCGCGAAAGCCAGGGGAGCAAACGG